rnacentral:lncRNA from 1 species
UAAUUGUUUCGUCAAUCAAAAUUAGAAAAGGAAAAAUAGAUUUAAUUUACUUUAAUUGUUUUACUGCCUCUGUGACAUUUGCAUUAAUCUAUUUUUUUUUUAUCGUUAAACAAUUUAAAAAAAAAAUUGAAAACGUGUUUCAGUGUGUGGAUGAGGUUUACAGAAUAUUUGGCAAAAAGUGCACAAAAAACGCAAAAAAAUACACAGGGAAAAAGUAAAAGAAUAGAGAAUAAUAGAAUGCUUAAAUAUGCAGAAUAGAGAAUAAUAGGGUGCAAAAGUAUAAAGAGUAGAGAAAAUGGCUAAAAAGAUAAAUAAUAGAGAAAAAUCGCUGUUAAAUUGCAGAAUACAGAAAUGAAAGACCCCCAUCCAUUCCCUUAUAAUUUGCUCAUUUAAAAUGGGAAAAUAUA